CCACACCAUAUACAAUGCAUACACAGAUACAUCAGCCAAAAAUCUGAUAGUUCAUUUGGGUGAUAUUCUUCGGCUGAUGUGUCACAAUUGUAUAAAGAUCAGCUAUUCAGCCAUUCUGGUUCUUCUAGGAAUCCCAUUUCAUGGAUAGAUGUAGUAAGAAAAAAGUCAUAAAAUGCAGUGGAUUUAAUACCUGGUAUAUGUAUGGAUCCUUUGGACCUCCUGCACCAAAUCUCUUUACCUUUUCCAGCUUCAACAACCUGCAAAUUUGUCAUAGGAACUCAUUUAAGUGGGUACUAAUGUACUAUGGUGGACAGUCCAUGAAUUAUGAUCAAUUUUCCAGUAGAAUGAAAAAGAUAUAGGCCUGAGCCCACAUGAUGUCUACAAUCAGUUUGUUUUAGUGGCAUAGGACUAAUAGGAGCCCAUUAUUGGUGUUUCAUAAUCUAGGUCUGAGAACCCCUGAUUGAUUCAUAAUGUCUUUAAAUACCAAACACAUUGUUAUUAGUCUUUCUGAUUAAUGGAGGAUUCAGUCGACGUGUCAUAUUAAGGAAAUUCGCUCAUAAUUCCUUAGAGCAUUCCUAAAUGGUAAAAUGGUUUUAGAGGUGCCACGUAGGAGAGAGGGUAAAGGUUUUAGGAUUAAACUAUGCUAAAAGUGUUUUUUACUUUUAGAGUUGUCAAUAGUUGUUUUUAAAUGCAAUAUAAUUUUAAUUAUUAAACAAUCUUAUGUGGCACCUCUAAAACUCUUUUAACUCCUUGGCAAAUUUGCCAAGGAGUUAAAAAUGUUUUGCUUGAAAAGUGUGUUAAAACUACCAUUGACAAGUGUUUUCACUAAAAGCUUACUAAAAGUGUGCUAAAACCUACCAUUGGGAAUGCUCUUAAUGUCAUUUGUGCUGAAAUAAAAUUCAAGAUUCAAAGUGACCAUCCAUAUUAGUGUAUUUAUUUUUCAGAGAAGAUGAACUUGGAUUACUUGAGCACAUUGGUUGCUUAUGACUCAAUCAGGCAGACAGGCAUCCACUACAGGUCAUCAAGUUCAGUUCGGCCGUAAGCAGUUUAGUACUAGAAUAAGGCAAUCAUGGAAAAGGGCCCAAGAGCUUCAUGAAAAAGGACCAAAUCACUCACUUUGACAACGAACUUUGAAGUUGGUUGCAAAACUGACAACCAACUACAAAGUUAACAAUGAACUUCGAGUCAACUUUCUUGACUAACAUUGAAAAAGUCUCCGGUAGUUUUCUCCGUUGAACUGUGUGACGUGGAAGAAUAUGUAUAACGUGGCUUGCCAUUUAAUGACACGUAAGUAAAUAAUGAAAACAGAAAAAACAAUAACGGUUAAGUCCAUACGUGCUUUGCACGUGAGAAAAAGCAAUAACGGUUAACCCUUGUUUAAACAUCAUCUUCUUCCUUUGUCUAUUUAUACCAGUGAAGCCCUAGAAAUCUAAUUAAAGCUCUUCUUACCCCUUCUUCCCCAAAUUUCAUGAAAAUCAUGUCUUCAAGCUCAACUAAGUCUUAUACCAAUGCAUAUGCCACCUGCAAAUGUGGAAUUCCUGCUCCAAUUAGAGUUUCAGGUACGGAAGCCAACAAAAAUCAAAAAUUCAUCAACUGUGUGAGGGGAGAAUGUAAUUACUUUGUGUGGGUUGAUAAUCUUGUGCCAAAAACUCAAUUGGAGAUGAUGAAGAGAGAAGAAUACUUCAUGAAUCGAAUACUUCAUGAAUCGAAUUGAUAAUUAUCAGUCAAAAAUUGUUUACUCUAUAUUUUUAAGCUUGCAUAGCCAUAUACAGUAGAAGGUUGGAUGAGAUGUUGUCUAGACUCCUAAAAACUCAAGGAAAAGGAAAACUGCAAAAUCUUGAAAUCACAAACAGUUUAUACAUUUGACAGACUUUAAAAGGUCUUCUAUGCUUAGGGUGAGAACAAAAACAUCUGUCCCUCAAUUUUUGAACCCUUACACUCAUAUAGUCAUCUUCCUCUUUCUUUUUCUUCUCUUUCUUUUAUGCAUAGAUGGCAGCCAAAACUUUCCCUUACAAUAACCCUCUUACUGAAACCCCACAUUUUACCCCACAUUUAUCUCCUGAAGAAAAACUAGAUCAAGAAAUAACUUCAGCAGCCAAGAAUCUUCUCUCCUUACCUGGUUCUGGGCAUCUCACUGGUAGGACGAAAACAAAUUUUAAGUGGAGUUGCCGGAUAGGGACCACAGUGAAAGUGAUUUUUGUAAAGAAAGAAAGAUUAAAUUAUUUUGAUUUUAUUAAAUU
rnacentral:lncRNA from 1 species